UUUAAUAUAUUUUUAAAAUUUGCGGCGGAUGGCCUUCUCAGACAACUGAUUUGUUCAAAAGUUUGAUAUUGGACCCUUCCCCAGACACCUCAACCCGAAAUGCCAUGAAGGGCAGGGCUGGCAGCAGUGGCCACUGAUCUGGGGAAGCAACAUGGGAGUGUACACAUGGAUGUGUUUUGCUUGGGAGCCCCAUUGGACAUCCCGGACAUAUGUAAUGAUCCUUCCGCAGGUUCACCUACGGAAA
rnacentral:misc_RNA from 1 species